rnacentral:rRNA from 1 species
UACGUAGGGUGCAAGCGUUAAUCGGAAUUACUGGGCGUAAAGCGUGCGCAGGCGGUUGUACAAGACAGAGGUGAAAUCCCCGGGCUUAACCUGGGAACUGCCUUUGUGACUGUACGGCUAGAGUGUGUCAGGAGGGGGGUAGAAUUCCACGUGUAGCAGUGAAAUGCGUAGAUAUGUGGAGGAAUACCGAUGGCGAAGGCAGCCCCCUGGGAUAACACU